rnacentral:rRNA from 1 species
GACGAACGCUGGCGGCGUGCUUAACACAUGCAAGUCGAACGGAAAGGCCCUGCUUUUGUGGGGUGCUCGAGUGGCGAACGGGUGAGUAACACGUGAGUAACCUGCCCUUGACUUUGGGAUAACUUCAGGAAACUGGGGCUAAUACCGUAUAGGAGCUCCUGCUGCAUGGUGGGGGUUGGAAAGUUUCGGCGGUUGGGGAUGGACUCGCGGCUUAUCAGCUUGUUGGUGGGGUAGUGGCUUACCAAGGCUUUGACGGGUAGCCGGCCUGAGAGGGUGACCGGCCACAAUGGGACUGAGAUACGGCCCAGACUCCUACGGGAGGCAGCAGUGGGGAAUAUUGCACAAUGGGCGGAAGCCUGAGGCAGCAACGCCGCGUGCGGGAUGACGGCCUUCGGGGUGUAAACCGCUUUAGCCUGUGACGAAGCGUGAGUGACGGUAAUGAGUAAAGAAGCACCGGCUAACUACGUG